GGGGUGAAGUCGUAACAAGGUAACCGUAGGGGAACCUGCGGUUGGAUCACCUCCUUACCUGAAAGAACCUGCCUUUGUAGUGCUCACACAGAUUGUCUGAUGAAAAGUAAAUAGCAAGGCGUCGUUGCGAUUGAGACUUCAGUGUCCCCUUCGUCUAGAGGCCCAGGACACCGCCCUUUCACGGCGGUAACAGGGGUUCGAAUCCCCUAGGGGACGCCACUUGCUGGUUUGUGAGUGAAAGUCACCGGCCUUAAUAUCUCAAAACUGAUUCUCAGGAAUCACGUUUGAGAUAUUUGCUCUUUAAAAAUCUGGAUCAAGCUGAAAAUUGAAACGACACACUGUUUCCUUUCUCCGUAAUAAGAGAGGAAAAAUGGUGUGUUCGAGUCUCUCAAAUUUUCGCAAUGCGGACUGUUUUACGAAACAGUUUCGGGUUGUGAGGUUAAGCGACUAAGCGUACACGGUGGAUGCCCUGGCAGUCAGAGGCGAUGAAGGACGUGCUAAUCUGCGAUAAGCGUCGGUAAGGUGAUAUGAACCGUUAUAACCGGCGAAUUUCCGAAUGGGGAAACCCAGUGUGUUUCGACACACUAUCGUUAAGUGAAUACAUAGCUUAACGAAACCGAACCGGGGGAACUGAAACU
rnacentral:misc_RNA from 1 species